CAACCUAGCGAACGCCACCUUCUUCACCUCCACUUUUCCUUUAACUACAUCGUUCCACCACCAAUCACCCUGAUUUCUGCCUGAAUAUCCCUUGGCUACCCCGAGCACGUCCCGUGCUACCCCCUAACCAAGUUCGCUGUCACUGACCACAUAGCGUCCGCUUCCCCAGAACUUCUCCAAGCUCCGCCCUCAACUAACCUCCUUUCCAACUCCUGAG
rnacentral:lncRNA from 1 species